AUUAUUACCUUGGGGACGUUGGAAAUCAGGUUUGUUAUUGGCAGUUCCUGUUUCUGUAAGAGUUGUUAAGAGCUAAAAUUUAAAGGGUGUUGGUCAAUCAACAGAAUGUUAUUUUCUUAAGUGGGGAACUGCUAUUUGUCAUUUUUACUUUGCUGCUGCUGCUGCUGGACGACCUGCACCAGGUUUACCUCUAAUUCUAAACUCCCACUUCAUUAGAAAUAAAGCCAGUCUUCACAGAAACAUAAAGGACAUUUUUCUUCAAACCAAGACUCGUGAGCUAAAAGAGCAGUUGAGGAUGGUCUUACUUCUCCAUGUUCUGAAACCAUUUUAAACCAAAACAAAAAACAGACAACCUUGCAGGAAACUCAGAGUAAAUAAAUAGUCCUUGUCUGUUAAGUGAAAUUGUUCCUUAAGGUGGAGAGACUGAGACAGGAUCCGCCAGAAGAUUACACACUAUGUACAUUAAUAGCAAAAUCAGCUAGAAGAUUGAGAGUUUCUACCAUUAGGAAACAUACACAAAUACCAUCACACCCAGAAAAACCCAUCGAAGCUGUUUUGUCAAAAGUGUGCCUGAGAGGUAGGGGCUGGAAAAGAUAAAUGCAAACUGAAUCUGGGGGACAUCUCCUCCUGAAGAGGAGAAAAAAAAAAGUUGUGCACAGGAAUGUUCCUUUUUAAAAAGAAACCCCUUCGGAGGCACAGAACUUGCCUGCCCGCUCUGAAGAAACAAGGUGGAUUAUUUCAGCUCUCUGGGGCUUGGAACGUGUGUGUGCAAGAGCACCCUGAUAGCUGCAAUAAUAAACAUGUCCAGCUGCAAGAGCUCUGCCUAACAAGCCUGGACAACACAGUCUGAAUUCCUUUCCUUUGACCAUCUUAGAUGUCCCCUGCGAGAGGGGAGUCAGGGAGCCAGCCCUGGAAGGGUCCUCCCAGACCCCCACAGCCCCGCGCCUCCCCAGAAACACGCGCCCUCCCCCCAGCCCGCCUCUCCACUUUUGUUUUAUUUACGAAUAUGUUGCCAGAAUUCCAAUGAGUUAUCUAUUCUGUGGCCCCGUCAAUUUUCCCACCGAGGCCUUGUCGCCGGCUGACUCAGGGUCCAGUCGCAACAGUGAGAAGAAAAGACCAGAGCAAAAGAAUUCUUUUCAACUUUUUUUUUUUUUUUUUUUAGGUUUCGCUCAUUUCUCUCUCUGCCUGCCCCCAGCCUCCUUGCGCUCCUUUACCCCUUUCUGUUACAAGAUCGCUCAAAUUGAAGCCCGGGAGGAUCCUAUAGGGAAUGCAUAGGAUCCCUGGGAGAAAAAAGCCCCAACAAGCUAUACACCAGAUGUAUAAUGUUAUAUGGUCAAACUGGCAAACACAAAAGCCGAAAAACAAAAGGCGUGAAUUAGGGAGAGGCAUUCAAAGGCGUGUUUUCAAAACAGCCCGGCCAAAAGCCUGGAUUCCCCUCCUGAGACUAAAUGCUUGAAAGAAAAGGUGCUAAAGAAAGAAAGGAAAAGAAAAAAAAAAAAAAAAAGCCCAUUUUUUCUAAUUAGCUGAGGCCUAACAGGCACUGAAUUUCGCAACUAGUUUUCAUCGAGGGGGUUGUGGCUGGUGAAACUGAAAAAAUAUGUUUUUGAAACCUGUGAUGGAGGCUUUCCAUGGGCCAAGGCUAGAUUCAGUCCUCGGGCUUUUUUUUUCUCCUCCAUCCCUGGAGUCUUGGGUCCUGCCUUGCUUCCUUGGUCUAUCCCGUUUUCACACCCUUCCCCCUAAAGUACAAAUAUUAUUUAGGUUUAAAAAGAGAGCUGGGUGGAAAGCUACAAUAUGCCCCCGCCCCCUCCUUUCUGUCUCAUAGGCAGGGGGUUUUUCCAGGCCAGCAGCAGCCCUCUGAGUCGCUAUGAAUCUCAUUCCAAACCACCACUAGUAGCCAAGGGGGGAAAGGUGUCCGUGCAGACUGAGGGUGUGUGUGUCUGUGUGUUUUCUGUAAAUGCUGGGAUUAAGAUGAAAAACUCUCCACCACUGUGAAUUUAGACAUUUAGAGGAUGAUUUCUAGCUGUGAGGUUUUUUUGUGCGUUUUUUUUUUUUCUCCCGGUGCAACGGGGCAGCGUUCAAGAUAGCAAGGUGGAUUCCCCAGCCUUGCAAAAGGACACAGGCAGACAAUUUGAAUUUUUAAAACCUUCUGACUGAAAGAGGACACAACAGUGUCAUGGCCAGAGACUGAUCCGUCUUCAGCUGCCUGACAAAUUAUGAACUUGCAUUCUUCAAUGUCAUUUCUAAUAAGAAAACAAAACAGAACUCGUGGGCGAGAGUUGGUGGGCAGCCCGAGUUUUGCAGGGAGGCAACUUUAAUUGCCACACUGUCUGGCUUGGAUGCCUGUGGUCGUGCGUGGUGUGUUUUAAUAACAAACACUUGUUCUAAUGAAUUAGCCUUAUUAGGGGCUCCUCAUAUUCUUUCAUAAAGAGCAGAGCUAUUCUGAACUUCUGAAUGCAACAGUCUCUUGAUAUUCUCACACCGAAGGCUCUAUGUGGGAUUUCAUUUCUACCCUUGUAUAUUCAUAAGGCUCAUAUAUGUAUAUAUGUAUUUUUCUCUGGCAGAAGAGUGAGCAGCAGAAAGUUAAGAAAAGUAUUGGGUUUGCAGGUAUGGGCCAUCCAUCCAGGAACAUCAAAAAUGCUUACAACAUUACUAUGCUGAAAAUGCAUUUGCAUUUCCAACUGAACAAUCCGGAUUUUAGUCACCUCCUGCAUAUUUUUUGGAUACACUUGUGGCAUUGGAUAAAACAGAUUCAUUAGCUUUGAUUAACCUUCUUUAACUAGAGUUAAAAACCUGCUGUAGGCAGCUCAGCUACCAAUGCAGCUUUAAGAUACUUUAUCAUGUUUAAGACCCAAUUACUGUUGCACUGCAUACGAAUAAAACAUCACAAUAAAAUAUGGAACAAACAGCCAUUCUAACAUGCACAGCAAAUAAUCAUUAAUUUAUAACAGCAACCUUCCCAUUUCUAUGGUUCUUCUGAUGGCUGCACUUAAUUCAGAUGGAAUACUCUGGAAUCUGAUGCUGGGAGAAGAAACUAGUUCCCCUCUCUCAUUGAUGCUGACUUUUUUUUUUUUUUCCUGUCUUACAGCUUGAAUUUGAAGUCUCAGAAGACUCUUUUAAAGAGUAGAAAAUACGAAUAAAAUAGAAAACGUGGAGCUAAAGUUAAAACGGAUUCUUUAGAACUAGGUCUGUAUGAGAGAGAGAGAGAGAGGAUUUAAGUGUGAUGGGACUUAAAACAAUUUGUCAAUAAUUGGAAACUUAAAUAUUAAAUGUUAGGAAUUUUAAAAUAUGAAACACAGGCGGGUAAAAUCAGCAUUGAGCUCAUUAAAAGUUACUUCUAUAGGAUCUGUAAAUUUUUUAAGAGCAACAGCAAGGUCCAUGUGCUGUGUUUUGUGUAGGAAGAAGCAGAGCGAGGGAAUAACUCCAGCACGCCGUGGGUUAAUUUUGGACAGGAUUUGACUGAACCAGGAAUAAUGAACAGUGAGAUACUGCAGCUUUCAGGCAAAACAGAGUAACAACAAUUAAAAAAGAGAGCGAGGGAAUAAAGGGGGAAACAAUCUCCAGUCAGUUAACUAACAAGAGCAGUCCAGUGUUGGACACAGAUAAAACAGGGGCCACCAGGAACGCUGCUGUUACCGCUGCUUGCUUUAUGCCUAGGUGCGGAAAGCCUGCAACAUUUGUGAGCCAACUGUCUGUGGAUUUCUUCUCAUCUGCUUUAAAAUAUUUGGUUUUGCCGUAUUUCCAUAAUAACCACAACCACACUCUCCCCUCCAAAAAGCCCCCACAACAACAGAUGUGUGUUCUAAGAGGAAAUGGAGACACUGAUAUAAUCAGACACUAGUUAGAAUGCUUUCAUACUAAAUUCUCCAGCAAAUUCCCAACAACAAAAAACUCUCCACCACUGAUGGAAUUAAUCUAAGAUCCUUGAUUAUUUGAAGUUCUAGAAGUUUGCAUUUUGCAUUUUGUUUGUGAAUGUAUAGGGCUUUAUUUAUCAAACUGCCGCGUAAUUUUCCCUUCAGUUUGAGGCUGUGAUUGUGAAACAAAUAAAUUGAAACCUACCAGUC
ensembl:lncRNA